rnacentral:rRNA from 1 species
GAUGAACGCUGGCGGCGUGCCUAAUACAUGCAAGUCGAGCGAAGCGGGGGCGGGUGAGUAACACGUGGAUAACCUCCCAUAAGGCUGGGAUAACUUCGGGGAACCGGAGCUAAACCGGAUAAUUAUAGCUGGAUCCGAGCGGCAUUAGCUAGUUGGUAAGGUAACGGCUUACCAAGGCAACGAUGCGUAGCCGACCUGAGAGGGUGAUCGGCCACACUGGAACUGAGACACGGUCCAGACUCCUACGGGAGGCAGCAGUAGGGAAUCUUCCGCAAUGGGCGAAAGCCUGACGGAGCAACGCCGCGUGUGUGAUGAAGGUCUUCGGGUCGUAAAGCUCUGUUGUAAGGGAGGCGGUAUCUUACCAGAAAGCAACGGCUAACUACGUGCCAGCAGCCGCGGUAAUUC